GUGCUCACUUCAGCAGUACAUGUACCAAAACUGGAACAGUAAAGAGACUGGCAUGCCCCUGCGAAAGGAUGACACACACAUUCAUAAAGCGUUCUAUAUUUUA
ensembl:snRNA U6 U6 spliceosomal RNA